rnacentral:rRNA from 1 species
AUUGAACGCUGGCGGCAUGCCUUACACAUGCAAGUCGAACGGCAGCACGGGAGCAAUCCUGGUGGCGAGUGGCGAACGGGUGAGUAAUAUAUCGGAACGUGCCCGGUCGUGGGGGAUAACGUAGCGAAAGCUACGCUAAUACCGCAUACGAUCUACGGAUGAAAGCGGGUGAUCGCAAGACCUCGCGCGAUUGGAGCGGCCGAUAUCAGAUUAGGUAGUUGGUGAGGUAAAGGCUCACCAAGCCGACGAUCUGUAGCUGGUCUGAGAGGACGACCAGCCACACUGGGACUGAGACACGGCCCAGACUCCUACGGGAGGCAGCAGUGGGGAAUAUUGGACAAUGGGCGAAAGCCUGAUCCAGCAAUGCCGCGUGAGUGAUGAAGGCCUUAGGGUUGUAAAGCUCUUUUACUGGGGAUGAUAAUGACAGUACCCAGAGAAUAAAGCUCCGGCUAACUCCGUGCCAGCAGCCGCGGUAAAG